rnacentral:rRNA from 1 species
CACGUAGGGGACGAGCGUUGUCCGGAUUCAUUGGGCGUAAAGCGCGCGUAGGCGGCUCGGAAAGUCGGUCGUGAAAUCCUGGGGCUCAACCCCGGAACUGCGUCCGAUACUCCCGAGCUGGAGGCAGGUAGGGGAGAUCGGAAUUCCUGGUGUAGCGGUGAAAUGCGCAGAUAUCAGGAAGAACACCCAUGGCGAAGGCAGCUCUCUGGGACGGUACUGACGCUGAGACGCGAAAGCGUGGGGAGCGAACAGG